rnacentral:rRNA from 1 species
GUGGGGAAUCUUGCGCAAUGGGCGAAAGCCUGACGCAGCCAUGCCGCGUGAAUGAUGAAGGUCUUAGGAUUGUAAAAUUCUUUCACCGGGGACGAUAAUGACGGUACCCGGAGAAGAAGCCCCGGCUAACUUCGUGCCAGCAGCCGCGGUAAUACGAAGGGGGCUAGCGUUGCUCGGAAUUACUGGGCGUAAAGGGCGCGUAGGCGGAUCGUUAAGUCAGAGGUGAAAUCCCAGGGCUCAACCCUGGAACUGCCUUUGAUACUGGCGAUCUUGAGUAUGAGAGAGGUAUGUGGAACUCCGAGUGUAGAGGUGAAAUUCGUAGAUAUUCGGAAGAACACCAGUGGCGAAGGCGACAUACUGGCUCAUUACUGACGCUGAGGCGCGAAAGCGUGGGGAGCAAACAGGAUUAGAUACCCUGGUAGUCC